CGGCCUGAGGUCGGACGAGGCUACCCGCUGAAUUUAAGCAUAUUACUAAGCGGAGGAAAAGAAACUAACGAGGAUUCCCUCAGUAACGGCGAGUGAAGCGGGACGAGCCCAGCGCCGAAUCCGGCCGCUUAUGGAGCGGACGGAAUUGUGGCGUAUGGAAUUCGCUUCGAGCGCGGACCGGCUGCCCACGUCCUUCUGAUCGAGGCUUCAUCCCAUAGCGGGUGUCAGGCCCUUGGCGGCGGCUGGCCCGGGCUCUCGGUGUCUUCCCCGGAGUCUGGUUGUUUGGGAAUGCAGCCCAAAGCGGGUGGUAAACUC
rnacentral:ncRNA from 1 species